rnacentral:tRNA from 1 species
UCCUUGGUAGUCCAGUGGUUAUGACUCUGCACUCCCAAUGCAGGGGCCUGGGUUCAAUCCUUGGUCAGGAAA